UCAACCGAGAUUCCCCCAGUAGCGGCGAGCGAACGGGGAGCAGCCCAGAGCCUGAAUCAGUGUGUGUGUUAGUGGAAGCGUCUGGAAAGGCGUGCGAUACAGGGUGACAGCCCCGUACACAAAAAUGCACAUACUGUGAGCUCGAUGAGUAGGGCGGGACACGUGGUAUCCUGUCUGAAUAUGGGGGGACCAUCCUCCAAGGCUAAAUACUCCUGACUGACCGAUAGUGAACCAGUACCGUGAGGGAAAGGCGAAAAGAACCCCGGCGAGGGGAGUGAAAAAGAACCUGAAACCGUGUACGUACAAGCAGUGGGAGCACGCUUAGGCGUGUGACUGCGUACCUUUUGUAUAAUGGGUCAGCGACUUAUAUUCUGUAGCAAGGUUAACCGAAUAGGGGAGCCGAAGGGAAACCGAGUCUUAACUGGGCGUUAAGUUGCAGGGUAUAGACCCGAAACCCGGUGAUCUAGCCAUGGGCAGGUUGAAGGUUGGGUAACACUAACUGGAGGACCGAACCGACUAAUGUUGAAAAAUUAGCGGAUGACUUGUGGCUGGGGGUGAAAGGCCAAUCAAACCGGGAGAUAGCUGGUUCUCCCCGAAAGCUAUUUAGGUAGCGCCUCGUGAAUUCAUCUCCGGGGGUAGAGCACUGUUUCGGCAAGGGGGUCAUCCCGACUUACCAACCCGAUGCAAACUGCGAAUACCGGAGAAUGUUAUCACGGGAGACACACGGCGGGUGCUAACGUCCGUCGUGAAGAGGGAAACAACCCAGACCGCCAGCUAAGGUCCCAAAGUCAUGGUUAAGUGGGAAACGAUGUGGGAAGGCCCAGACAGCCAGGAUGUUGGCUUAGAAGCAGCCAUCAUUUAAAGAAAGCGUAAUAGCUCACUGGUCGAGUCGGCCUGCGCGGAAGAUGUAACGGGGCUAAACCAUGCACCGAAGCUGCGGCAGCGACGCUUAUGCGUUGUUGGGUAGGGGAGCGUUCUGUAAGCCUGUGAAGGUGUGCUGUGAGGUAUGCUGGAGGUAUCAGAAGUGCGAAUGCUGACAUAAGUAACGAUAAAGCGGGUGAAAAGCCCGCUCGCCGGAAGACCAAGGGUUCCUGUCCAACGUUAAUCGGGGCAGGGUGAGUCGACCCCUAAGGCGAGGCCGAAAGGCGUAGUCGAUGGGAAACAGGUUAAUAUUCCUGUACUUGGUGUUACUGCGAAGGGGGGACGGAGAAGGCUAUGUUGGCCGGGCGACGGUUGUCCCGGUUUAAGCGUGUAGGCUGGUUUUCCAGGCAAAUCCGGAAAAUCAAGGCCGAGGCGUGAUGACGAGGCACUACGGUGCUGAAGCAACAAAUGCCCUGCUUCCAGGAAAAGCCUCUAAGCAUCAGGUAACAUCAAAUCGUACCCCAAACCGACACAGGUGGUCAGGUAGAGAAUACCAAGGCGCUUGAGAGAACUCGGGUGAAGGAACUAGGCAAAAUGGUGCCGUAACUUCGGGAGAAGGCACGCUGAUACGUAGGUGAAGCGACUUGCUCGUGGAGCUGAAAUCAGUCGAAGAUACCAGCUGGCUGCAACUGUUUAUUAAAAACACAGCACUGUGCAAACACGAAAGUGGACGUAUACGGUGUGACGCCUGCCCGGUGCCGGAAGGUUAAUUGAUGGGGUUAGCGCAAGCGAAGCUCUUGAUCGAAGCCCCGGUAAACGGCGGCCGUAACUAUAACGGUCCUAAGGUAGCGAAAUUCCUUGUCGGGUAAGUUCCGACCUGCACGAAUGGCGUAAUGAUGGCCAGGCUGUCUCCACCCGAGACUCAGUGAAAUUGAACUCGCUGUGAAGAUGCAGUGUACCCGCGGCAAGACGGAAAGACCCCGUGAACCUUUACUAUAGCUUGACACUGAACAUUGAGCCUUGAUGUGUAGGAUAGGUGGGAGGCUUUGAAGUGUGGACGCCAGUCUGCAUGGAGCCGACCUUGAAAUACCACCCUUUAAUGUUUGAUGUUCUAACGUGGACCCGUGAUCCGGGUUGCGGACAGUGUCUGGUGGGUAGUUUGACUGGGGCGGUCUCCUCCUAAAGAGUAACGGAGGAGCACGAAGGUUGGCUAAUCCUGGUCGGACAUCAGGAGGUUAGUGCAAUGGCAUAAGCCAGCUUGACUGCGAGCGUGACGGCGCGAGCAGGUGCGAAAGCAGGUCAUAGUGAUCCGGUGGUUCUGAAUGGAAGGGCCAUCGCUCAACGGAUAAAAGGUACUCCGGGGAUAACAGGCUGAUACCGCCCAAGAGUUCAUAUCGACGGCGGUGUUUGGCACCUCGAUGUCGGCUCAUCACAUCCUGGGGCUGAAGUAGGUCCCAAGGGUAUGGCUGUUCGCCAUUUAAAGUGGUACGCGAGCUGGGUUUAGAACGUCGUGAGACAGUUCGGUCCCUAUCUGCCGUGGGCGCUGGAGAACUGAGGGGGGCUGCUCCUAGUACGAGAGGACCGGAGUGGACGCAUCACUGGUGUUCGGGUUGUCAUGCCAAUGGCACUGCCCGGUAGCUAAAUGCGGAAGAGAUAAGUGCUGAAAGCAUCUAAGCACGAAACUUGCCCCGAGAUGAGUUCUCCCUGACCCUUUAAGGGUCCUGAAGGAACGUUGAAGACGACGACGUUGAUAGGCCGGGUGUGUAAGCGCAGCGAUGCGUUGAGCUAACCGGUACUAAUGAACCGUGAGGCUUAACCUU
rnacentral:rRNA from 1 species